rnacentral:rRNA from 1 species
GACAGAGGGUGCAACCGUUGUUCGGAAUUACUGGGCGUAAAGCGUGUGUAGGCGGCCAUAUAAGUCGGAUGUGAAAGCCCUGGGCUCAACCCAGGAAGUGCACUCGAUACUGUAUGGCUUGAGUACUGGAGAGGUUGGUGGAAUUCUCGGUGUAGAGGUGAAAUUCGUAGAUAUCGAGAGGAACACCGGUGGCGAAGGCGGCCAACUGGACAGAUACUGACGCUGAGACACGAAAGCGUGGGGAGCAAACAGG